rnacentral:rRNA from 1 species
UACGUAGGGGGCAAGCGUUGUCCGGAAUCAUUGGGCGUAAAGCGCGUGUAGGCGGCCAGAAAAGUCCGCUGUGAAAACUCGAGGCUCAACUUCGAGCUGUCGGUGGAAACUUUCUGGCUAGAGUCCGGAAGAGGAGAAUGGAAUUCCUGGUGUAGCGGUGAAAUGCGCAGAUAUCAGGAGGAACACCAAUGGCGAAGGCAGCACUCUGGGACGUGACUGACGCUGAGGUGCGAAAGCCAGGGGAGCGAACGGG